GGAUGCUUGAGCGCGUCCGAGGCUAAAAGGAGUAUCUGCACACCCGAGCGGGAUAAGGAAAGGGUGGGAGAACUUCGCCAACGACCUAUGGAUGUUGACGGAGAUUUGCGGUGCCAUCUUUGUGCCUGUCCUAUAAAAGAAAAGACGGGAAAAGGACAAGAUCAAAGAAAUGAAGAUGUUCACACUCUGGCUGUCUCCACCACAUCUUACACCGUCACCAUGGAACCUCACUCAGAUAAGUCAAGACCGACAGUGUGAAACAUCAUCCGAGAUGGGCGAGAACACAUGUAGGUCUCCUUGUAGAGGUCCCGAGGGUAAAGUGCUGUCUUGCUGCCACCGUGACCCCGCCCCCAAAAGAUGUUCUACCCGGAACCACGUUUAAUGCAGACGGAUGAGGUUGGGCCACUGAUAAACUUUGCUAAAAACGACAGCGGAGCAUCUGGAAGUGAUUUUUAAGACACUAUGACAUGUGUAAUGUACAUAUAACAUGAUAUGUGAGUGAACUGAAUGGUAGUUAGUUUUUUUUUUACCUAAAAUGGUCAUCACUAGCACGCUAAUGCUAAUUGUGAAUGCUAACUGUUUAGCAAAGGCUGAUUUUGUUCAUUACGAUUUAUUGUACUUAUCCUUA